UAAUGCAGUCGAGCGGACAGAUGGGAGCUUGCUCCCUGAUGUUAGCGGCGGACGGGUGAGUAACACGUGGGUAACCUGCCUGUAAGACUGGGAUAACUCCGGGAAACCGGGGCUAAUACCGGAUGGUUGUCUGAACCGCAUGGUUCAGACAUAAAAGGUGGCUUCGGCUACCACUUACAGAUGGACCCGCGGCGCAUUAGCUAGUUGGUGAGGUAACGGCUCACCAAGGCGACGAUGCGUAGCCGACCUGAGAGGGUGAUCGGCCACACUGGGACUGAGACACGGCCCAGACUCCUACGGGAGGCAGCAGUAGGGAAUCUUCCGCAAUGGACGAAAGUCUGACGGAGCAACGCCGCGUGAGUGAUGAAGGUUUUCGGAUCGUAAAGCUCUGUUGUUAGGGAAGAACAAGUGCCGUUCAAAUAGGGCGGCACCUUGACGGUACCUAACCAGAAAGCCACGGCUAACUACGUGCCAGCAGCCGCGGUAAUACGUAGGUGGCAAGCGUUGUCCGGAAUUAUUGGGCGUAAAGGGCUCGCAGGCGGUUUCUUAAGUCUGAUGUGAAAGCCCCCGGCUCAACCGGGGAGGGUCAUUGGAAACUGGGGAACUUGAGUGCAGAAGAGGAGAGUGGAAUUCCACGUGUAGCGGUGAAAUGCGUAGAGAUGUGGAGGA
rnacentral:rRNA from 1 species